UACUUUGUUUAUGUGUUCGAGGUUGAGGGUUCGAGUCUCUUUUUAAAAAGUCCUAUUUUAUUUUGCCUGAAUCCUUAUCCGUGAAAUAUCAACUUAAGUUUAAUUCUAUGUAAAUCUAUGUCAAGAAUGAGCCUGCUAGUUCAAUGGUUAAGCUUCUGUUUACUUUUUUUAUUUGACGUCCUUCUUUCCUUCAUUCUUUUUUCUUUUUCUUUUUUUCUUCUACUUCUUUUCUCUUUUCUUUCUUUUUUCGAUUACUUUGGUAACUGUGCUAGCGGGUUAAAUCAGGGGUAUUGUGUCGUUCAUUUUUUCGAUUGAAGAGUUCUGCAUAAGUUUCUUCUUGUUGUUGUAAUUUUAUUUUGUUUGUUUUCGAUAUUGCUCUGUGAGUUUGGAAAUUACUGUUAGUGUGCCUAGAUUUCUCAUUAAUUGCUCAUUUUGCUUCUGUUUAGGUAGAGAUCCUGAGAGGAGUAUUCUUCUGAUAAUUUAAG
rnacentral:lncRNA from 1 species